rnacentral:rRNA from 1 species
AGAGUUUGAUCCUGGCUCAGAAUGAACGCUGGCGGCGUGCCUAACACAUGCAAGUCGGAUGUGCCCGCAAGGGUGCAUGGCAGACGGGUGAGUAACGCGUGGGGAAUCUACCUCUUUGUGGGGAAUAACGCUCCGAAAGGAGUGGUAAUACCGCAUGAGACCAAUGACUGGAAUGUUGUUGGUGAAACCUGGGGACCGCAAGGCCUGGGGCAAGGAGAGGAUCCUGCGUCUGAUUAGCUAGUUGGCGGGGUAACGGCCCACCAAGGCGACGAUCAGUAGCCGGCCUGAGAGGGUGAUCGGCCACACUGGAACUGAGACACGGUCCAGACUCCUACGGGAGGCAGCAGUGGGGAAUUUUGCGCAAUGGACGAAAGUCUGACGCAGCAACGCCGCGUGGGUGAUGAAGGUCUUCGGAUCGUAAAACCCUGUCGUCAGGGACGAAGGUUUGGGGGUUAAUAACCCUUAAGCUUGACGGUACCUGGAGAGGAAGCCCCGGCUAACUCUGUGCCAGCAGCCGCGGUAAUACAGAGGGGGCAAGCGUUAUUCGGAAUUAUUGGGCGUAAAGGGCGCGUAGGCGGUUUUUUAAGUCAGAUGUGUAAUCCCCGAGCUCAACUUGGGAACUGCAUCUGAGACUGGGAGGCUAGAGUACUGGAGAGGGUGGUAGAAUUCCACGUGUAGCGGUGAAAUGCGUAGAGAUGUGGAGGAAUACCAGUGGCGAAGGCGGCCACCUGGACAGUAACUGACGCUGAGGCGCGAAAGUGUGGGUAGCAAACAGGAUUAGAUACCCUGGUAGUCCACGCUGUAAACGAUGAACACUUGGUGUGGUGGGAGUUGACCCCUGCCGUGCCGGAGCUAACGCGUUAAGUGUUCCGCCUGGGGAGUACGGUCGCAAGGCUGAAACUCAAAGGAAUUGACGGGGGCCCGCACAAGCGGUGGAGCAUGUGGUUUA